GUCCCCUGGAUAUUGCGCACAGCGCGUGGGAUCGAGAUUAUUUUUUACAAUCCUUUCUUUCUUAUCCCUUCCCUUCCUUUCCUUUCAACUGCACAGUGGAACAAGACGUAGAUAUAUUCGUUUUUUCUUGGAUUGUAUAGGUUACUGGUUUUCAACUCUGUUAUUUUCAAUUGAUAAAGUUGUAGUCUAUUGAAACGUCAGUAAAAUUUUGAAUGCCAAUAUUAUACUACGUAAAUGAUAAGACUUUUUUAAUCAUUUCUACCGUUGCCAAAUCGCCCUUUGGAUAAAAAUGAGCACUUGAUGGAAAUUGGACUAUAAGGAAAUGAAUAAUCUUGAUAUCUUCGAUUUGAAGGAUUGUCAGUGAGCGGCCCUCCUAUAUAAGAUGGUUCCCAGUGUGUGUGGUGUGUCCCUGGCUGUGGUGUUGCUGACCCUGGUGUCUCCUGGUGGUGCCUGCCCUCUGCCCUGCUCUUGCUACCAGUCCACUGAACUACACUGCACCUUCAGAUCUCUGGUCAACAUACCACAGCCCCUACCACAACACACACUACACAUCAACCUGGGGUUCAACAGUAUCAGCAGGAUCCCAGACAGCUCAUUGGCCGGUCUGAGGAGGCUGGCGCUGCUGAUGCUUCAUGGGAAUGACAUCCAUGAGAUUCCUGACGGAGCUUUCCAAGAUCUGUC